UACGUAGGGGGCGAGCGUUGUCCGGAUUUAUUGGGCGUAAAGAGCUCGUAGGCGGUUUGGCAAGUCGGGUGUGAAAACUCCGGGCUCAACUCGGAGACGCCACUCGAUACUGCCAUGACUCGAGUCCGGUAGGGGAGUGCGGAAUUCCUGGUGUAGCGGUGAAAUGCGCAGAUAUCAGGAGGAACACCGAUGGCGAAGGCAGGUCUCUGGGCAUUAACUGACGCUGAGGAGCGAAAGCAUGGGGAGCGAACAGG
rnacentral:rRNA from 1 species